GACGAACGCUGGCGGCGUGCUUAACACAUGCAAGUCGAACGGAAAGGCCCUGCUUUUGUGGGGUGCUCGAGUGGCGAACGGGUGAGUAACACGUGAGUAACCUGCCCUUGACUUUGGGAUAACUUCAGGAAACUGGGGCUAAUACCGGAUAGGAGCUCCUGCUGCAUGGUGGGGGUUGGAAAGUUUCGGCGGUUGGGGAUGGACUCGCGGCUUAUCAGCUUGUUGGUGGGGUAGUGGCUUACCAAGGCUUUGACGGGUAGCCGGCCCGAGAGGGUGACCGGCCACAUUGGGACUGAGAUACGGACCAGACUCCUACGGGAGGCAGCAGUGGGGAAUAUUGCACAAUGGGCGGAAGCCUGAUGCAGCAACGCCGCGUGCGGGAUGACGGCCUUCGGGUUGUAAACCGCUUUCGCCUGUGACGAAGCGUGAGUGGCGGUAAUGGGUAAAGAAGCACCGGCUAACUACGUG
rnacentral:rRNA from 1 species